rnacentral:rRNA from 1 species
UACGUAGGGUGCGAGCGUUAAUCGGAAUUACUGGGCGUAAAGCGUGCGUAGGCGGUUCGUUAUGUCUGUUGUGAAAGCCCCGGGCUCAACCUGGGAAUGGCAAUGGAAACUGGCGGGCUUGAGUGUGGCAGAGGGGGGUGGAAUUCCGCGUGUAGCAGUGAAAUGCGUAGAGAUGCGGAGGAACACCGAUGGCGAAGGCAGCCCCCUGGGCUAACACUGACGCUGAGGCACGAAAGCGUGGGGAGCAAACAGG